rnacentral:miRNA from 1 species
UGGAGCUGUUGGGGAGAGUUA